rnacentral:rRNA from 1 species
UACGGGGGGAGCAAGCGUUGUUCGGAUUUACUGGGCGUAAAGGGCGCGUAGGCGGCGUAACAAGUCACUUGUGAAAUCUCCGGGCUUAACCCGGAGCGGCCAAGUGAUACUGUUGUGCUAGAGUGCGGAAGGGGCUACUGGAAUUCUCGGUGUAGCGGUGAAAUGCGUAGAUAUCGGGAGGAACACCGGCGGCGAAGGCGGCGACCUGGGUCGAUACUGACGCUGAGGUGCGAAAGCGUGGGGAGCAAACAGG